rfam:Myceliophthora thermophila ATCC 42464 chromosome 2, complete sequence.
GCCUACAUGGCUUAGUGGUAAAGCGUUUGGCUCGUAACCAAGAGAUCCUAGGUUCGACUCCUAGUGUAGGCA